AUUGAACGCUGGCGGCAUGCUUUACACAUGCAAGUCGAACGGUAACAGGCCGCAAGGUGCUGACGAGUGGCGAACGGGUGAGUAAUGCAUCGGAACGUGCCCGGUCGUGGGGGAUAACGCAGCGAAAGCUGCGCUAAUACCGCAUACGAUCUAUGGAUGAAAGCGGGGGACCGAAAGGCCUCGCGCGAUUGGAGCGGCCGAUGUCAGAUUGGGUAGUUGGUGGGGUAAAGGCUCACCAAGCCAACGAUCUGUAGCUGGUCUGAGAGGACGACCAGCCACACUGGGACUGAGACACGGCCCAGACUCCUACGGGAGGCAGCAGUGGGGAAUUUUGGACAAUGGGCGCAAGCCUGAUCCAGCAAUGCCGCGUGCAGGAAGAAGGCCUUCGGGUUGUAAACUGCCUUUGUACGGAACGAAACGGUCUGGGUUAAUACCCUGGGCUAAUGACGGUACCGUAAGAAUAAGCACCGGCUAACUACGUGCCAGCAGCCGCGGUAACAC
rnacentral:rRNA from 1 species